ACAACAGUUGGAAACGACUGCUAAUACCGCAUAAGCCCACGACCCGGCAUCGGGUAGAGGGAAAAGGAGCAAUCCGCUUUGAGAUGGCCUCGCGUCCGAUUAGCUAGUUGGUGAGGUAAUGGCCCACCAAGGCGACGAUCGGUAGCCGGACUGAGAGGUUGAACGGCCACAUUGGGACUGAGACACGGCCCAGACUCCUACGGGAGGCAGCAGUGGGGAAUAUUGCACAAUGGGGGAAACCCUGAUGCAGCGACGCCGCGUGGAGGAAGAAGGUCUUCGGAUUGUAAACUCCUGUUGUUGAGGAAGAUAAUGACGGUACUCAACAAGGAAGUGACGGCUAACUACGUGCCAGCAGCCGCGGUAAAACGUAGGUCACAAGCGUUGUCCGGAAUUACUGGGUGUAAAGGGAGCGCAGGCGGGAAGACAAGUUGGAAGUGAAAUCCAUGGGCUCAACCCAUGAACUGCUUUCAAAACUGUUUUUCUUGAGUAGUGCAGAGGUAGGCGGAAUUCCCGGUGUAGCGGUGGAAUGCGUAGAUAUCGGGAGGAACACCAGUGGCGAAGGCGGCCUACUGGGCACCAACUGACGCUGAGGCUCGAAAGUGUGGGUAGCAAACAGGAUUAGAUACCCUGGUAGUCCACACCGUAAAC
rnacentral:rRNA from 1 species